UACGUAGGGGGCAAGCGUUGUCCGGAAUCAUUGGGCGUAAAGCGCGCGUAGGUGGCCCGGUAAGUCCGCUCUGAAAGUCAAAGGCUCAACCUUUGAAAGCGGGUGGAUACUGUCGGGCUAGAGUCCGGAAGAGGCGAGUGGAAUUCCUGGUGUAGCGGUGGAAUGCGCAGAUAUCAGGAGGAACACCGGUGGCGAAGGCGGGUCUCUGGGCCGAUACUGACGCUGAGGAGCGAAAGCAUGGGGAGCGAACAGG
rnacentral:rRNA from 1 species